rnacentral:rRNA from 1 species
AGAGAGAGACAUGCGCGCAUAUCAAUAAGCGGAGGAAAAGAAACUAACAAGGAUUCCCUUAGUAACGGCGAGUGAAGCGGGAAGAGCUCAAAUUUGAAAUCUUCAAGGUUUUACCUUGACGAAUUGUAGUUUAAAGAAGUGUUUUCUGCUGGAGUUUUGGUAAAAGUUCUUUGGAAUAGGACAUCAUAGAGGGUGAGAAUCCCGUAUUUGACCAUUAUUUCAGCUUUGUGAUACACUUUCAAAGAGUCGGAUUGUUUGGGAAUGCAGUCCAAAAUGGGUGGUAAAUUUCAUCUAAAGCUAAAUAUUGGCGAGAGACCGAUAGCGAACAAGUACCGUGAGGGAAAGAUGAAAAGAACUUUGAAAAGAGAGUUAAACAGUACGUGAAAUUGUCAAAAGGGAAGCGUUUGACACCAGUGUUGUUUUCUCGAAAAUCAAUUAAAAAUGGCUCGAUUUUGUAUUGUUGAGACCUUAAAAGCUCACUGUACAUUUUUCGUGUCUUUUUUAAUGCACUUUUCGUUUAACAAGUCAACAUCAGUUUCUUUUGUUGUAAAAGGGUCAUUGGAAGGUGGCUUUCUUUUCGGAGAAAGUGUUUAUAGCCUUUGGCCUCUGCAAUCGGAGAGACUGAGGUCUGCAGCGUAGACUCUUCGGGGUUAGAUACAUUUGUGCUAAGUUAUAGCUUUUUAUAGACAACUUGUUGACUAUAAUUAGUCUAGUAGCUUACUCGCUUAUGCUAUUUUACCUACGCUUAGGAUGUUGAAGAUGUAGCACAUCAU